rnacentral:rRNA from 1 species
CCUUGUACACACCGCCCGUCACACCACGAAAGUUGGCAACACCCGAAGCCAGUGGCCCAACCCUUUGGGAGGGAGCUGUCGAAGGUGGGGUCAGCGAUCGGGGUG